rnacentral:lncRNA from 1 species
AAUUUCGAACAACAAAAGGAAAUCAGCAACAUCUCUUCCAAACGUUGCAAAGAAAGGCGUCAAAUACAGAGCAACACGGCACCAAACGACAUCUUCAUCGACCAGUGUUGUUCUGGUACAGUGCUUUCGGCUAUAGCAGACUGCUGUUCCGUCCUCGCCACUACGAGAUUACUCCACGUCGACACUCAAGGACGAGAGGUCAAUCGAGUCCGUCCAUCUCCCUUUCCUCUUUCGGAAUGGGGUGAAUUUUUCAGUGAAAAGGUUGCCUCCCCAGAAUUGUGUAAGAUUUUCGAUUUUGAAUUUGGAAUGGGCCUUGAACCCGAAUUUUCGUCCCUUUUNN